rnacentral:rRNA from 1 species
AGCUAGAUGGUAAGGUAACGGCUUACCAUGGCAAUGAUGGCUAGGGGUUCUGCAAGGAAGAUCCCCCACACUGGUACUGAGACACGGACCAGACUCCUACGGGAGGCAGCAGUGAGGAAUAUUGGUCAAUGGAGGCAACUCUGAACCAGCCAAGCCGCGUGAAGGAAGACUGUUCUAUGAAUUGUAAACUUCUUUUGUGACAGAGUAAAGAUAGCUACGUGUAGUUGUUUGCAAGUAUGUCAUGAAUAAGCAUCGGCUAACUCCGUGCCAGCAGCCGCGGUAAUACGGAGGAUGCAGGCGUUAUCCGGAUUUAUUAGGUUUAAAGGGUGUUCAGGCUGUCUGGUAAGUCAGAGGUGAAAGUCGGUUGCUUAACGAUCGAAUUGCCUUUGAAACUGUCAGACUUGAGUAUGGAUGUGGUAGGCGGAAUGUGUAGUGUAGCGGUGAAAUGCAUAGAUAUUACACAGAACUCCAAUUGCGAAAGCAGCUUACCAAACCAGCACUGACGCUGAAGCACGAAAGCGUGGGUAGCGAACAGGAUUAGAUACCCUGGUAGUCCACGCAGUAAACGAUGCUCACUCGCUGUUGGCAAUACACCGUCAGCGGCUAAGGGAAACCGAUAAGUGAGCCACCUGGGGAGUACGAUCGCAAGAUUGAAACUCAAAGGAAUUGACGGGGGCCCGCACAAGCGGUGGAACAUGUGGUUUAAUUCGAUGAUACGCGAGGAACCUUACCUGGGCUUAAAUGUGAAGUGCAUUGUUUGGAAACAGACAUUUCCUUCGGGACUCUUUACAAGGUGCUGCAUGGUUGUCGUCAGCUCGUGCCGUGAGGUGUCGGGUUAAGUCCCAUAACGAGCGCAACCCCUAUUGUUAGUUACCAGCGCGUCAAGGCGGGGACUCUAACGAGACUGCCGGUGUAAACCGCGAGGAAGGUGGGGAUGACGUCAAAUCAGCACGGCCCU